GUGCUCUCUUCAAUAGCACAUAUACUAACAUUGGAAUGAUACAGAGAAGAUUGGCAUGACCCCUGUGCAAGAAUGACACGAAAAUUCAUAAAAAAGAAGAAAAAAAU